CUUGGUUCAAUUUUUACACCAUCAACAGCAAUAAAACCACAUGAACAGCAGCUGUACAUGCACACACAAAAAAAGUAAAAAGCGGGGUUUGAGUCUGGAUGGUAGGGCAUAGUUUAAUGAUUUUGAUGUGAACUGGAACUCCAAAAUAGCUGCUUGUGCCAGGAGCACACAUAUUCUAAACUCCCUACUGGGAUUGUCUCUAAAACAAGUCGUUGUUGAGCCAACUCGUAAAGAGGCCAUACUAGAUUUAGUGUUAACAAAUGGAGAUUUGGUAUCGGAUAUUACUGUAGGUGAAAGUUUAGGAUCCAGUGAUCACAAGUCAGUGUGGUUUAAUAUAAGAAUAGUGACUGAAUCACACCCCACAAAAACAAAAGUUUUAGACUUUAGAAAAACAGACUUUUCUAAGAUUAGAAUAUGUGUAAAGGAGUCAUUAUCAGACUGGAGCAAUUUAAAUGGAGUCCAAGAGAAAUGGGAUUAUUUAAAAGUUGCACUGCUGAAGGCAACAGAAAACUGCAUUAGGCUUGUCAGUAAAAGCAAAAAUUCAAG